GACAGAGGUGCCAAGCGUUAGGCGGAAUCACUGGGCUUAAAGCGUGUGUAGGCGGGUGCCUAAGUACCUUGUGAAAUCCCACGGCUCAACCGUGGAACGGCUGGGUAUACUGGGUGCCUUGGGUCAUCCAGGGGCUGCCGGAACAAAUGGUGGAGCGGUGAAAUGCGUAGAUAUCGUGAGGAACACCAGAGGCGAAGGCGGCUACCUGGACAAUUGCUGACGCUCAGGCACGAAAGCGUGGGGAGCAAAAGGG
rnacentral:rRNA from 1 species